rnacentral:lncRNA from 1 species
CCUCCCUUUAUCUCUAUCUAGGAUAAACUAUUUUUUGAUAGCAUGAUAGGUCAAAAUCACAUUGUGAUCCUCUAGGAAGAAAAGUAGUAUCCUAAACUUUUUAGGAUACCCUGAUGAAAUGAGUUCUCAUAGAUCUAGCCUCUAACUUGUUCUACCUGCUGUCCUCGAUGUGGGCUGGACAUCUCUAAAUUUUGAAAAGAUCAAGGCUCAGUUUCUCACAUUACCAA